UACGUAGGGUGCGAGCGUUGUCCGGAAUUAUUGGGCGUAAAGGGCUCGUAGGCGGUCUGUUGCGUCAGGAGUGAAAACUCGGGGCUUAACCCCGAGCCUGCUUCUGAUACGGGCAGACUAGAGGUAUGCAGGGGAGAACGGAAUUCCUGGUGUAGCGGUGAAAUGCGCAGAUAUCAGGAGGAACACCGAUGGCGAAGGCAGGGCUCUGGGCAUUAACUGACGCUGAGGAGCGAAAGCAUGGGGAGCGAACAGG
rnacentral:rRNA from 1 species